AACCCCGCGCCGAACUGUCACCGUAGGGUGUGCGUUCCUUCACUGGAUAGGCCGGGGUUUUCC
rnacentral:sRNA from 16 species